rnacentral:tRNA from 1 species
GCCUCUGUUGGAUUUUGAAUUUGAGUGCCGGAUUUGUAUGCCAGAGGACCUGGGUUCAAACCCCAGCAGAGGCA